AUGGGAAUCACCGGAAGCUGGAACCAGCGCUCCCCGGUGUUGGAACCAGCGUUCCAUGGUGCUGGAACCAACGCACCAUUUUUUGCAUUUUUGCUACCACCGUUUUGUGGUUUGCUGCAACCAGUAUCAAUUUUUGCUACCAUCGCCUUUUUUAUUUUGCUGGAACCAUCGUUCAUCUUUGCAUUUUUUGCUACCACAUGUGUUUUUGUUUGUUGGAACAAUACCCAAUUUUUGCUAUCACCAGGUUUCUUCGGUUUGUUCGCAACGCCUGAAUUUCCCAACUUUGCUACCACCCGUUUUUUGGUCUUUUGCUGGAACCGUCGUGCUGUUUUGCUACGACAUGAAUCAUUUUUUGCUGCAUCCAGUAAAUCGAAGGCGAGGUACAAGAGCUCGACGAUGGGUGCUGUGGCCGGUGGUUGUCGCCACCGGAGCUGCAGCCAUCUCCACCGGAGUUGCAACGGCGGGGGUGCACCGUGCACUUUGUUGCAUGCUUGGAGCCAGCGAGGAAUGCAUGCGGCGACCAGCGGCGAGGGCGGCGACCGACGGCAAGGGCGGUGCUUCGAGGAUUGUUGCCUGGGGGUCACCCAUGGCGAUUGUUGGCGAUGGCCGCUGCUUUUUGCGUGUUCCCCUCUGCUUUUUGUUAGAUGCGAUUAUUUUAUAGAAAAAAAUGAUUCGGGAUUCUGA
rnacentral:rRNA from 1 species